UUCCAAUCAAAAUGGUAUAGUAAUCUAGCUAGAGUAAGCUCAAGGGUUGCUGUACCAAAUGACAUUCCCGGACAAGCUCUCAUCCCGAAUCCAAAUCCCAAGAACUCAAAAGGAAUUGAUACUUCGAUAACAUUAUUGAACCUCUCGGGCUCAAAUUUUUCUGGAUCAUGCCAAUAUUGAUGGUCCCUUCCCAUUGCCCACAUAUUCACAAGGGCUAUAGUUUUUUUAGGUAUGAUAUACCCAUUAAGCUCGCACUGCUCUAUUGAUUCCCUAGGUAAAGACAAUGGACCAGGAGGAUGAAGCCUUAGAGUUUCCUUAACUACCAAUUUCAGACGGAUUCUUUAUUAUUUCAGACAUGGCCCAUUCCAAUGCAGUUGCUGAUGUCACAGUUCCGGCAGCGAACAUAUUCUGUAGGUGCCCAAUCGAUAAGCAAUUUUAGGGUUCAUUUGUAGCCAAAUAUAAUAAAUAAAUAAUAAUACUUCUUAAGAAGAAGAAAGGGUGUUGGGGAAGAGAUUGACAUGAAGAUCUAGGUAGUACUUACCAAGAGUAUAGCUUUGAUGUUAUCUCUUGUUAUAGGGAUUUUAAAAUUGUGGCUCUCCUUGUCUUUAAGCCUUAAAAGAAGGUGCAAAAGAUCUUCUUUA